rnacentral:rRNA from 1 species
AUGAACGCUGGCGGCGUGCCUAAUACAUGCAAGUCGAGCGAACAGACGAGGAGAUUGCUCCUCUGACGUUAGCGGCGGACGGGUGAGUAACACGUGGAUAACCUACCUAUAAGACUGGGAUAACUUCGGGAAACCGGAGCCAAUACCGGAUAAUAUAUUGAACCGCAUGGUUCAAUAGUGAAAGACGGUUUUGCUGUCACUUAUAGAUGGAUCCGCGCCGCAUUAGCUAGUUGGUAAGGUAACGGCUUACCAAGGCAACGAUGCGUAGCCGACCUGAGAGGGUGAUCGGCCACACUGGAACUGAGACACGGUCCAGACUCCUACGGGAGGCAGCAGUAGGGAAUCUUCCGCAAUGGGCGAAAGCUUGACGGAGCAACGCCGCGUGAGUGAUGAAGGUCUUCGGAUCGUAAAACUCUGUUAUUAGGGAAGAACAAAUGUGUAAGUAACUAUGCACGUCUUGACGGUACCUAAUCAGAAAGCCACGGCUAAGUACGUG